AUUGAACGCUGGCGGCAUGCCUUACACAUGCAAGUCGAACGGCAGCACGGGUGCUUGCACCUGGUGGCGAGUGGCGAACGGGUGAGUAAUACAUCGGAACGUACCUUAUCGUGGGGAAUAACGCAGCGAAAGCUGUGCUAAUACCGCAUACGCCCUGAGGGGGAAAGCGGGGGAUCGCAAGACCUCGCGCGAUUAGAGCGGCCGAUGCCUGAUUAGCUUGUUGGUGGGGUAAAAGCCCACCAAGGCGACGAUCAGUAGCUGGUCUGAGAGGACGAUCAGCCACACUGGGACUGAGACACGGCCCAGACUCCUACGGGAGGCAGCAGUGGGGAAUUUUGGGCAAUGGGGGCAACCCUGAUCCAGCAAUGCCGCGUGAGUGAAGAAGGCCUUCGGGUUGUAAAGCUCUUUUGUCAGGGAAGAAACACCGGCUCUAACACAGUCCGGGAAUGACGGUACCUGAAGAAUAAGCACCGGCUAACUACGUGCCAGCAGCCGCCGUAA
rnacentral:rRNA from 1 species